GGGCGCUGGCGGUCCACGCACCGCUCUUACCUCGGGCGGACAUCCGAAGGGUCACGGCCGCUGGACAUGCUGUCUUUUGCAACCCCGGCCCCAGCAGGCGCUUUACAGUGAGGGGUCUCCCGCAAGAGAGGGCAAGAACCAUCCUAAGCCCCGCUCGCGGAGGGCGGGAAAAGGGGAAGACGGCUAGGUUGGUCCUGCCCACCGGAAAGUCGGAAGAGUAAGAGUAGCAAGAAGCCUUGGGGCUGCAGGUGGGACCUCAGGGAGCCGUGUCUACUAGGAGGACGCGUGGACACGUCCCUCCUGGAGUUUCGAUUCAAAAUGCGCCCCGAAUGAGGUAGCGCCGCUCUCACUAGGAGCAAAAGAUCCGUCCACGUCGGUUCCAGAAACCUCGUGUCCCCCAGGCCUGCCCGCCCGCCUCACCUGCCAGGCGGCUGAACUCGCGCGCCCGCAGCUCGCGCAGGCUGCCCUGGCCGUAGCCGUAGGCUAGCCGCGGUGCGCUCGGGUCCCGGGAACCCGCGAAGGUCCACAGCUCCCGCCCUGACUCCGCCGCCGCGCCGGCCAUGGCCCCGGCUAGUCCGUCCAGGCUGGCCGGGCCCGGGAAGUGCGCGAAGCCGGCCCCCGGCGACUCCGCCCCCGCCGCGCCUCCCAGGCCUCCAGCCUCCAGUCUCUCGGAAUCCGCAGCCUAGGUGUGGCGCCCCGACCGGACUUUCACUUCUGGCCAGCCCUUUCCCCACCUGGGCGCGGGAGCGGGUGCCCGUCUUUAAACAACCUCUCGAUGGGUCCCACGAAGAUGUUUCCAGACCCUUGGAAUGCCAAGUUCAAGUUUAGCUAUGUCUCGCGGAGAGGCCGGUGGAAGAAGCAACGAGAAUGAAGCACCCCAGUUCUCUGCUGAGCACAUGGGCAUCUGCAAUAAAGAUUUAAUUUCCCAGCUUCUCCUGAAGCUCGGUAUGGCCACAACACUAAAUUCUGCCCGAGGAGAUUAAGCAAAAUAGUAUGGGACUUCCAAGAAAUGUUUUUAAAGUCAGGGGCAGGCCUUUCUUCAUGCCUUCUUCCUCUUUGCUGGCUGGAAUGCAAAGACCAUGGCAGGAGGCCAAGCAGCCAUCCUGGAAGGUGAAAGCCUCAUACUAAGGACGUCAGACAGCAAAAUAAGAGCCUGGGUCCUUGACCCUGUAGACAUCUCCCUCCCCAUCCUGGUCUGUCUGCCUUGACUCCUUUCAUAUAAGAGAAAUAAACUUUUAACUUGUGUAAACCAGA
rnacentral:lncRNA from 1 species